rnacentral:rRNA from 1 species
GAUGAACGCUGGCGGCGUGCCUAAUACAUGCAAGUCGAGCGAACAGACGAGGAGCUUGCUCCUCUGACGUUAGCGGCGGACGGGUGAGUAACACGUGGAUAACCUACCUAUAAGACUGGGAUAACUUCGGGAAACCGGAGCUAAUACCGGAUAAUCUAUUGAACCGCAUGGUUCAAUAGUGAAAGACGGUUUUGCUGUCACUUAUAGAUGGAUCCGCGCCGCAUUAGCUAGUUGGUAAGGUAACGGCUUACCAAGGCGACGAUGCGUAGCCGACCUGAGAGGGUGAUCGGCCACAUUGGAACUGAGACACGGUCCAGACUCCUACGGGAGGCAGCAGUAGGGAAUCUUCCGCAAUGGGCGAAAGCCUGACGGAGCAACGCCGCGUGAGUGAUGAAGGUCUUCGGAUCGUAAAACUCUGUUAUUAGGGAAGAACAAAUGUGUAAGUAACUAUGCACGUCUUGACGGUACCUAAUCAGAAAGCCACGGCUAACUACGUG